ACAGAUCGUUCAGAGUUUGAUCCUGGCUCAGGAUGAACGCUAGCGGCAGGCUUAACACAUGCAAGUCGAGGGGCAGCAUGAAGGUUAGCAAUAACCUUUGAUGGCGACCGGCGCAAGGGUGCGUAACGCGUGAGCAACUUGCCCGUUUCAGGGGGAUAACCGGUGGAAACGCCGACUAAUACCCCAUAGUACAAUCUUAAGGCAUCUUUUGAUUGUUAAAGAAUUUCGGAAACGGAUAGGCUCGCGUGACAUUAGCUAGAUGGCGGGGUAACGGCCCACCAUGGCGACGAUGUCUAGGGGUUCUGAGAGGAAGGUCCCCCACACUGGAACUGAGACACGGUCCAG
rnacentral:rRNA from 1 species